rnacentral:tRNA from 1 species
GGCUCAGUGGUUUAAGGACUUAAUGCUUUCUGCGAAACCAAGAGGUUCUGGGUUCGAUCCUUGGUGGGGUCG